AUUUGUCUCAAAGUAGCAGCCAUGCCCACUGCUUUUCCAAUUCCAGCUACCACGCACUGGCAUGUGGGGGGCCUGCCACCAGCCAGGCCAGCACUCUGGACAGGAACAGCCCCACCAAGCUCAGUAACAAGUCCCUUGACAGAGACACAGCAGGCUGGACCCCCUACAGCUAUGUGAACGUGUUAGACUCCCAUUUCCAGAUCAGUGCCCUGGAGGCCAGGUACCCGCCCGAGGACUUCUACAUUGAACUUAGACACCUCAGCCGCCCCGCUGAGCCACACUCACCAGGUCA
rnacentral:misc_RNA from 1 species